ensembl:lncRNA
UGAUGGGUAUACCACCACUGACGAGUCAUUCAAUUAAGAGGACAUCUGCAGGAGAAAGUGGAAGAGCCUCAGGGACACAUAUAACAAGGAGAAGAGGACAGAGAAGGAGAAGAGGAGUGGGUCUGCAGCAGGAUCGGGGAGGAGAUGGAAGUUCCUCGCGGUCAUGGGGUUUCUGGACCCCUUCCUCACCCCGCGGGAGACAAGUGGCAAUAUGGUGCGGAUCGUGGAGAACUUCCCCCCUGAGGACCAGGUACAGCCCGGAGAGGCAGCAGGGGAGUCCCAGUCAGAAGAACAAACUGAUUCUGCAGCAGAGCCAUCCCCUGUUGCUUCUCCUUGCUCCCCAGUCCCUGGUCCCUCCACUCCUGCUGCUGCACCCACAGGCCCACAGAGGAGGACAGCUCCGAGGCGGACGAGGGACGGGUCCCAGGACGGUCCAUCGGCGGUGGAGCUGGCCAUCCUGGAGUCUCUGAAGAGGCCACGCCAGUCUCCAACGGAGCGUUUCCUCCUCAGCCUUGUUCCUGCUCUGGAGAGCAUGCCGCCUCAGACGCGAGAAUUCGUUAAAUUUCAAAUUUAUAAAUUAGUUUUUGAAAACGGCACAGCUGUGUUAAAUUUGGAAACAUUGGACCCUAGCGAUCAGUAGUUUUCUGAUGAGGCAGCAGCUCUCCAGGGCAGAAACAAUGUUCUUAUUUUUCUCCUCCUUCUCCCUGAG